AGUGAACGCUGGCGGUAGGCCUAACACAUGCAAGUCGAACGGCAGCACAGUAAGAGCUUGCUCUUACGGGUGGCGAGUGGCGGACGGGUGAGGAAUACAUCGGAAUCUACUUUUUCGUGGGGGAUAACGUGGGGAAACUUACGCUAAUACCGCAUACGACCUACGGGUGAAAGCAGGGGAUCUUCGGACCUUGCGCGAUUGAAUGAGCCGAUGUCGGAUUAGCUAGUUGGCGGGGUAAAGGCCCACCAAGGCGACGAUCCGUAGCUGGUCUGAGAGGAUGAUCAGCCACACUGGAACUGGGACACGGUCCAGACUCCUACGGGAGGCAGCAGUGGGGAAUAUUGGACAAUGGGCGCAAGCCUGAUCCAGCCAUACCGCGUGGGUGAAGAAGGCCUUCGGGUUGUAAAGCCCUUUUGUUGGGAAAGAAAAGCAGCAGGUUAAUACCCCGCUGUUCUGACGGUACCCAAAGAAUAAGCACCGGCUAACUUCGUG
rnacentral:rRNA from 1 species